rnacentral:rRNA from 1 species
GAGUAAUAUAUCGGAACGUCCCCUAGAGUGGGGGAUAACGUAGCGAAAGUUACGCUAAUACCGCAUACGAUCUAAGGAUGAAAGUGGGGGAUCGCAAGACCUCAUGCUCGUGGAGCGGCCGAUAUCUGAUUAGCUAGUUGGUAGGGUAAAAGCCUACCAAGGCAUCGAUCAGUAGCUGGUCUGAGAGGACGUCCAGCCACACUGGAACUGAGACACGGUCCAGACUCCCACGGGAGGCAGCAGUGGGGAAUUUUGGACAAUGGGCGAAAGCCUGAUCCAGAAGGGCCGCGUGAGUGAAGAAGGCCUUCGGGUGUAAAUAUAGGGGGUCAGGGAAGAAACGGUGAGAGCUAAUAUCUCUUGCUAAUGACGGU